GACGAACGCUGGCGGCGUGCUUAACACAUGCAAGUCGAACGGAAAGGCCCUGCUUUUGUGGGGUGCUCGAGUGGCGAACGGGUGAGUAACACGUGAGUAACCUGCCCUUGACUUUGGGAUAACUUCAGGAAACUGGGGCUAAUACCGGAUAGGAGCUCCUGCUGCAUGGUGGGGGUUGGAAAGUUUCGGCGGUUGGGGAUGGACUCGCGGCUUAUCAGCUUGUUGGUGGGGUAGUGGCUUACCAAGGCUUUGACGGGUAGCCGGCCUGAGAGGGUGACCGGCCACAUUGGGACUGAGAUACGGCCCAGACUCCUACGGGGGGCAGCAGUGGGGAAUAUUGCACAAUGGGCGGAAGCCUGAUGCAGCAACGCCGCGUGCGGGAUGACGGCCUUCGGGUUGUAAACCGCUUUCGCCUGUGACGAAGCGUGAGUGACGGUAAUGGGUAAAGAAGCACCGGCUAACUACGUGCCAGCAGCCGCGGUGAUACGUAGGGUGCGAGCGUUGUCCGGAUUUAUUGGGCGUAAAGGGCUCGUAGGUGGUUGAUCGCGUCGGAAGUGUAAUCUUGGGGCUUAACCCUGAGCGUGCUUUCGAUACGGGUUGACUUGAGGAAGGUAGGGGAGAAUGGAAUUCCUGGUGGAGCGGUGGAAUGCGCAGAUAUCAGGAGGAACACCAGUGGCGAAGGCGGUUCUCUGGGCCUUUCCUGACGCUGAGGAGCGAAAGCGUGGGGAGCGAACAGGCUUAGAUACCCUGGUAGUCCACGCUGUAAACGGUGGGUACUAGGUGUGGGGUCCAUUCCACGGGUUCCGUGCCGUAGCUAACGCUUUAAGUACCCCGCCUGGGGAGUACGGCCGCAGGGCUAAAACUCAAAGGAAUUGACGGGGCCCCGCACAAGCGGCGGAGCAUGCGGAUUAAUUCGAUGCAACGCGUAGAACCUUACCUGGGUUUGACAUGGAUCGGGAGUGCUCAGAGAUGGGUGUGCCUCUUUUGGGGUCGGUUCACAGGUGGUGCAUGGCUGUCGUCAGCUCGUGUCGUGAGAUGUUGGGUUAAGUCCCGCAACGAGCGCAACCCUUGUUCACUGUUGCCAGCACGUUAUGGUGGGGACUCAGUGGAGACCGCCGGGGUCAACUCGGAGGAAGGUGGGGAUGACGUCAAGUCAUCUUGCCCCUUAUGUCCAGGGCUUCACGCAUGCUACAAUGGCUGGUACAGAGAGUGGCGAGCCUGUGAGGGUGAGCGAAUCUCGGAAAGCCGGUCUCAGUUCGGAUUGGGGUCUGCAACUCGACCUCAUGAAGUCGGAGUCGCUAGUAAUCGCAGAUCAGCAACGCUGCGGUGAAUACGUUCCCGGGGCU
rnacentral:rRNA from 1 species